AAGACUAGGAACACCUUUACCUUUUGUAUUAAAAAAACUUUUCAUCUAAGUGAAAAGACUUAGAUAAUAUAGGAAGACGAAAAGACCCCGCGGAACUUUACUUUUUAUUACACCUACACCCAAAAGUAUAAAGUAUCAAAA
rnacentral:rRNA from 1 species